rnacentral:rRNA from 1 species
GAUGAACGCUGGCGGCGUGCCUAAUACAUGCAAGUCGAGCGAACAGACGAGGAGCUUGCUCCUUCGACGUUAGCGGCGGACGGGUGAGUAACACGUAGGUAACCUACCUAUAAGACUGGGAUAAAUUCGGGAAACCGGAGCUAAUACCGGAUAAUAUUUCGAACCGCAUGGUUCGAUAGUGAAAGAUGGCUUUGCUAUCACUUAUAGAUGGACCUGCGUCGGAUUAGCUAGUUGGUAAGGUAACGGCUUACCAAGGCAACGAUACGUAGCCGACCUGAGAGGGUGAUCGGCCACACUGGAACUGAGACACGGUCCAGACUCCUACGGGAGGCAGCAGUAGGGAAUCUUCCGCAAUGGGCGAAAGCCUGACGGAGCAACGCCGCGUGAGUGAUGAAGGUCUUCGGAUCGUAAAACUCUGUUAUUAGGGAAGAACAAACGUGUAAGUAACUGUGCACGUCUUGACGGUACCUAAUCAGAAAGCCACGGCUAACUACGUG